GUCUUCGUGGCUUAGUCGGGAAAAUACACGACUAUGGUGCGGAAGGAUUCGGGUUCGAGCCCUGAUGGAGACA